rnacentral:rRNA from 1 species
AUUGAACGCUGGCGGCAGGCCUAACACAUGCAAGUCGAGCGGCAGCACAGUGCUUGCUCCUGCAUUCAGCGGCGGACGGGCGGGUAAUGCCUAGGAACCUGCCUAUCAGCGUUUUAUAACGUCCUGACGCGGGCGCUCAUACCCCAAAAGUCCUUACGACGUACGGGGGGGAUCAUCGGACCUUCCGCUCUCGCGCGAUCCUAUGACCCGAUGUCGGAUUAGCUAGUUGACGGGGUAAAGGCCCACCAAGGCGACGAUCCGUAGCUGGUCUGAGAGGAUGAUCAGCCACACUGGAACUGAGACACGGUCCAGACUCCUACGGGAGGCAGCAGUGGGGAAUAUUGGACAAUGGGCGCAAGCCUGAUCCAGCCAUGCCGCGUGUGUGAAGAAGGCCUUCGGAUUGUAAAGCCCUUUUAUUGGGAAAGAAAAGCAGUAAGUUAAUACCUUGCUGUUCUGACGGUACCAAAAGAAUAAGCACCGGCUAACUUCGUG